rnacentral:rRNA from 1 species
GAUAGUGACAGGCCAUGGAAGGGGUCAGCCACACCUUGUGACAAUAUGGACAGGCAGUUGUUCUCCAGCUGCACAACAAUCUCCCUGGGUGAUGGUAGUGUUGCUAGCUUCUGGACGGACCGAUGGUUGGACAGUGAGGCGCCAAUGGUGGUGGCUCCUGCCAUCUUCAAGCUGGCACGGUUCAAAAGGAUCUCGGUGUGAGAGGGCUUGCAUAAUGGAAGGUGGAUGAAUGGGCUACACAGGAUGAACAAUGAGGAGCAAUUGAAUCAAUUUGUCAAGCUUUGGAAUGGGGUGCAAUUGACGAACUUGUCGUCAGAAAAGGACACAAUUGCUUGGAGGCUUACAACCAAUGGUGCAUAGUCGGCUGCCUCGGCAUAUGAUGCCUAGUUUAUCGCUCGGUUGGAAAAGCCACAGCUGGCCCGAGUGUGGACUACCAAGGUCGAGGGGAAGGUGAGGUUCUACAUGUGGCUGCUGCUACAGAACAGAAAUUGGACUGACGAUAGACUACAGGCAAGAGUAUGGCCUCACAAUGUGCUGUGCAAGUUAUGUGACCAAGAACCGGAAACUGCCAAGCAUAUCGUGCUGCAUUGCUCUUUUGCCAAGGAGGUUUGGUUUCAGUUUCGGUAG